UAACUAAUAAUUUCAAUAAUUAAGUUAAUGAGCUUGAAUAAGCAUAU
rnacentral:tRNA from 1 species